CAAUAGCGUAUAUUAAAGUUGUUGCGGUUAAAAAGCUCGUAGUUGGAUUUCUGUUGAGGACGGCCGGUCCGCACUAUGUGCGUGUAUCUGGUUCGGCCUCGGCAUCCUCUCGAAAGCCGUAUCUGCGCUUGACUGCGUGGUUCGGACUUCGGGUCUUUUACUUUGAGGAAAUUAGAGUGUUCACGGCAGGCAAGCGCCUUGAAUAUAUUAGCAUGGAAUAAUAAUCUAGGAUCUUGGUCCUAUUUUGUUGGUUUCUAGGGCUAAGAUAAUGAUUAAUAGGGACAAUUGGGGGCAUUCGUAUUAACGCGUCAGAGGUGGAAUUCUUGGAUUGCGUUACGACGAACUACUGCGAAAGCAUUUGCCAAGGAUGUUUUCAUUGA
rnacentral:rRNA from 1 species